rnacentral:rRNA from 1 species
GUUUGUGAUGAUGCAAUCUACCCGCGGCUAGACGGAAAGACCCCAUGAACCUUUACUGUAGCUUUGCAUUGGACUUUGAAUCAAUCUGUGUAGGAUAGGUGGGAGGCUUUGAAGUAGGGACGCCAGUUCCUAUGGAGCCAUCCUUGAAAUACCACCCUGGUUCAUUUGAGGUUCUAACCUUGGCCCGUUAUCCGGGUCGGGGACAGUGCAUGGUAGGCAGUUUGACUGGGGCGGUCUCCUCCUAAAGUGUAACGGA